AGAAUAUUUCGCAAUGGGCGAAAGCCUGACGAAGCGACGCCGCGUGGAUGAUGAAGGCCUUCGGGUUGUAAAAUCCUGUUGUUAGGGAACAAGGAGAAUAUAUGAAUAAUGUAUUCUUUUGAGGGUACCUAAAGAGAAAGCACCGGCUAACUCCGUGCCAGCAGCUGCGGUAAUACGGAGGGUGCAAGCGUUAGUCGGAAUUAUUGGGCGUAAAGGGUGCGUAGGCGGGAAUGUAAGUCAUGUGUGGAAUUCCGGGGCUUAACCUCGGAGCUGCAUUUGAUACUACAUUUCUUGUCGGAUGGCGGAGAAAAUGGAAUUCCACGUGUAGCGGUGAAAUGCGUAGAUAUGUGGAAGAACACCUGUGGCGAAAGCGGUUUUCUAGCCUGCCCGAGACGCUGAGGCACGAAAGCGUGGGGAGCGAAC
rnacentral:rRNA from 1 species